GGAAUAUUGGUCAAUGGGCGCAAGCCUGAACCAGCCAUGCCGCGUGCAGGAAGAAUGCCCUAUGGGUUGUAAACUGCUUUUAUUUAGGAAUAAACUCUUGUACGUGUACAAGCCUGAAGGUACUAAAUGAAUAAGCACCGGCUAACUCCGUGCCAGCAGCCGCGGUAAUACGGAGGGUGCAAGCGUUAUCCGGAAUCAUUGGGUUUAAAGGGUCCGCAGGCGGAUUUAUAAGUCAGUGGUGAAAUCCUAUCGCUUAACGAUAGAACUGCCAUUGAUACUGUAGGUCUUGAAUUCGGUCGAAGUGGGCGGAAUGUGUAGUGUAGCGGUGAAAUGCAUAGAUAUUACACAGAACACCGAUAGCGAAGGCAGCUCACUAGGCCUGGAUUGACGCUCAGGGACGAAAGCGUGGGGAUCAAACAGGAUUAGAUACCCUGGUAGUCCACGCUGUAAACGAUGAUUACUCGUUUUCGGCGAUACACAGUCGGAGACUAAGCGAAAGUGAUAAGUAAUCCACCUGGGGAGUACGAUCGCAAGGUUGAAACUCAAAUGAANNNACGG
rnacentral:rRNA from 1 species